CGCCAGUGAAAAUAAGUGGUACUCACUGAACUCAAACAGGUUGUAAGGGAUACAUUGGGACAUUUGGGACAGAGGUUAUGGCAAAGGUGACCACAGAUGGUAUCUAUCAAGACUUCAUGGAAGGGAUAAUUAGACCGAGUGAGCCUCACGCCCUCUAACCGGCUGAAGUGAUGGCAACAAUGGCGUUCACUAUGGCCCCUGUCCUUCACCACUUCUACCGGAGACCUGAGUCCGAGUCAGCAACCUGUGUACAGCAUCCAGACUAAGCUAUCAACUGCUUUUUCUCUCAGGAGUGCGGCAUGAGUCCACGUGGAGUGAGCAUAGAGAAAGGUCCCGUCCAGACAUCUCUCAUGGUUCUGUGUACUGGUCGGAAAAUGGAGAAGACAUAAUGGACUGUAAAGGAUGGUGGCAGCUCAGGUGAGAGAUUCGUCUGCUGUUUGCAAAAAUCUGAUUAUCCCUCCGAUAUUGAAAUUGGAACAUUAUCAAGGGCCAUCUACAUUGAACAUGUGCCAUUGGUAGGUCAAACCGAAGAAGAAAAUGAAGAAACGCAAGAAGAAUGAAUGCCAGGGAGGGGGUGGUCAACCGUGCCCAUAUUUGAUUUAGGCUUGUCCAAAAUGGUUUAUUUGGGGUAUCAGGUUGAUUUUGGAGGUCUGCACGCUGCGAAAUUCAUAGUAAUUUACUUAUGAUGUGUUUUGAUAGAAGCUCCUUUGAUAGAAGCUAUAAUCUGAUGCUUACCUUAAAAUGUAAUGAUAAUUAUCACAUAGUGAUAAAAGCAGGGAAUGUGCAGGAAAAUGUUGUCUGAAGAGAUAGCAUUGAAUUGUACACAGCAUCUCCUUUCCCUCUUUCUUGGUUCGUGCAGGUGACUGUGACCUCCUCCUCAGACCAAUUGGCAGUACGCCCAGAACAUUGUUCUGGGAAUCUAAAGGGAUAUCUCAGUUUCAAGGUCUCAGCUUGGAGAGAAGUCAUGUGAGGUAUUGGUCGAUCACAUACAGGAACCAAAUAUCAAUGAUGAAUUAAUUAUGAGUAAUGUAAAUCAUGCAAAUAUAACUUGUCUGUGUAAGCAGUAUAUAAGAGAACUGGACUGCCCCAACUGACAUGUACUAUGGUGCAUUAAGUUUGUUGGAACCUCUCCAGCUUGCUGAUAAUAAAGAAUUAUUAAUUUAAUAUUGA